UCGAAUAAUCCAGAAAAUAGGUGGACCGGUCGUGCAAAUAUCCCUCCCCACGCCAGAACACGCGGACCUAGCCGCGUCUGGGUCGGGUCAUCGGGUCGCGGCCUAAAACGGCGCCGUUUAAGAGCUACUGAAUCAGGCAAUACGGCGACGUUUCUUCACUCCCCACUUAAGCCAACAUUAGCCCUAUUACUCUAAACAGAAAAGAAAAGAAAAAAGAUAAAGAGAAAAAAAAAACCUAAAAAUCUAAUCUCCUCAUUCAUGAGUCGCGCCGCUUCAGCCCCCCAUUCAUCCGGUCUAAACUCCAAUUACGGCGGAGUGAACCAGGAUGCGGCGUUUCCACCUCUAAGGUACGGCGUACAGAGUUGGGGACGUGGCAUGUACGGCGGCGAAGGCGCGCGCGUACGAAGGCUCGUCAUGUGCGGAGAGAGAGCGAGGGGACGUCACUGCUGCGACGCUGGGAACCCUUGCUGCUAGGGUUUCUGAAUCUUUUUCUGUUUUGGGUUGUAUGAUAGUUGGGCUAGAUGUUGGGUUAAAAGUAAUUUGGGCCACAUUGGGCCCAUGUACUUGGACUGUUCUUAUAUUGGAUUUUUAAAAUUAUUAUUAUUUAUUUGGGUUUUAAUACUAAACAUUUAAAAAAGGACUGCUAUUGGUUUUUAUUUA